rnacentral:pre_miRNA from 1 species
UUAGCUCAUAUUUGUAUAGAGUGGGAUUUUUGCCUACGUUUGCCGCUAGGGGCGCUGUUCCAACUGCAUACAAAAUUGGGCUA